rnacentral:rRNA from 1 species
UACGGCGGUCAUAGCAAGGGGGAAACGCCCGGUCCCAUUCCGAACCCGGAAGCUAAGCCCCUUCGCGCCGAUGGUACUGCACGGGAGACUGUGUGGGAGAGUAGGUCGCCGCCGGAC